rnacentral:rRNA from 1 species
UAGGGAAUCUUCGGCAAUGGACGAAAGUCUGACCGAGCAACGCCGCGUGAGUGAAGAAGGUUUUCGGAUCGUAAAACUCUGUUGUUAGAGAAGAACAAGGAUGAGAGUAAAACGUUCAUCCCUUGACGGUAUCUAACCAGAAAGCCACGGCUAACUACGUGCCAGCAGCCGCGGUAAUACGUAGGUGGCAAGCGUUGUCCGGAUUUAUUGGGCGUAAAGCGAGCGCAGGCGGUUUCUUAAGUCUGAUGUGAAAGCCCCCGGCUCAACCGGGGAGGGUCAUUGGAAACUGGGAGACUUGAGUGCAGAAGAGGAGAGUGGAAUUCCAUGUGUAGCGGUGAAAUGCGUAGAUAUAUGGAGGAACACCAGUGGCGAAGGCGGCUCUCUGGUCUGUAACUGACGCUGAGGCUCGAAAGCGUGGGGAGCGAACAGG